GACGAACGCUGGCGGCGUGCUUAACACAUGCAAGUCGAGCGGUAAGGCCCUUUCGGGGGUACACGAGCGGCGAACGGGUGAGUAACACGUGGGUGACCUGCCUUUAGCUCUGGGAUAAGCCUGGGAAACUGGGUCUAAUACCGGAUAUGACUCCAUGAUGCAUGUUGUGGGGUGGAAAGCCUUGUGCGGCUGGAGAUGGGGCCCGCGGCCUAUCAGCUUGUUGGUGGGGUGAGGCCUACCAAGGCGACGACGGGUAGCCGGCCUGAGAGGGCGACCGGCCACACUGGGACUGAGACACGGCCCAGACUCCGUA
rnacentral:rRNA from 1 species